rnacentral:lncRNA from 1 species
CUCCAACCCCUUUUCCCACUUUUCUGGAAGGUAAGAACCCCCGAACCCCUUCCCUCCAUUUCUCUACUCUCUUUUCUCUAGGCUUCCUUCCUUCACUAUGGGCAAACUUCCACCCUCCAUUCCUCCUUCUACUCCCUUGGCCUGUGUUCUCAAAAACUUAAAACCUCUUCAACUCAUACCUGACCUAAAACCUAAAUGCCUUAUUUUCUUCUGCAAUGCCACUUGACCCCAGUACAAACUCGACAGUAGUUCCAAAUAGCCAGAAAAUGGCACUUUGAAUUUUUCCACCCUGCAAGAUCUAAAUAAUUCUUGUCGUAAAAUAGGCAAAUGGUCUGAGGUGCCUGACGUCCAGGCAUUCUUUUACACAUCAGUCCCAUCCUAGUCUCUGUGCCCAGUGCAACUCGUCCCAAAUCUUCCUUCUUUCCCUCCCGCCUGUCCGCUCAGUACCAACCCCAAGUGUUGCUGAGUCUUUCUAAUCUUCCUUUUCUACAGACCCAUCUGACCUCUCCCUUCCUCCCCAGCCUGCUCCUCGCCAGGCUGAGCUAGGUCUCAAUUCUUCCUCAGCCUCUGCUCCUCCACCCUAUAAUCUUUUUAUCACCUCCCCUCCUCACACCUGGUCUGACUUACAGUUUCGUUCCGUGACUAGCCCUCCCCCACCUGCCCAGCAAUUUACUCUUAAAAAGGUGGCUGGAGCCAAAGGCAUAGUCAAGAUUAAUGCUCCUUUUUCUUUAUCCCAAAUCAGAUAGCGUUUAGGCUCUUUUUCAUCAAAUAUAAAAAUCCAGCCCAGUUCAUGACUUGUUUGGCAGCAACCCUGAGACACUUUACAGUCCUAGACCCUAAAAGGCAAAAGACCGUCUUAUUCUCAAAAUACAUUUUAUUACCCAAUCUGCUCCUGACACUAAAACUCCAAAAAUUAAAUUCCGGCCCUCAAACCCCACAACAAGAUUUAAUUAACCUCGCCUUCAAGGCGUACAAUAAUAGAAAAAAGUUGCAAUGUUCCUUGCCUCCACUGUGAGACAAACCCCAGCCACAUCUCCAGCACACAAGAACUUCCAAACACCUGAACCGCAGUGGCCAGGCGUUCCUCCAGAACCUCCUCCCCCAGGAGCUUGCUACACGUGCCGGAAAUCUGGCCACUGGGCCAAGGAAUGCCCGCAGCCCAGGAUUCCUCCUAAGCCGCGUCCCAUCUGUGUGGGACCCCACUGAAAAUCGGACUGUUCAACUCACCUGGCAGCCACUCCCAGAGGCCCUGGAACUCUGGCCCAAGGCUCUCUGACUGACUCCUUCCCAGAUCUUCUCGGCUUAGUGGCUGAAGACUGACACUGCCCGAUCGCCUCGUGAGCCCCCUAGACCAUCACGGAUGCCGAGCUUCGGGUAACUCUCACAGUGGAAGGUUCCCACGCCGCCCCUAAUCCCGCUCGAAGCAGCCCUGAGAAACAUCGCCCAUUCUCUCUCCAUAUCACCCCCCAAAAAUUUUUGCCACCCCAACACUUCAACACUAUUUUGUUUUAUUUUUCUUAUUAAUAUAAGACGGCAGGAAUGUCAGGCCUCUGAGCCCAAGCCAAGCCAUCGCAUCCCCUGUGACUUGCACGUAUAUGCCCAGAUGGCCUGAAGUAACUGAAGAAUCACAAAAGAAGUGAAUAUGCUCUGCCCCACCUUAACUGAUGACCUUCCACCACAAAAGAAGUGUAAAUGGCCGGUCCUUGCUUUAAGUGAUGACAUUACCUUGUGAAAGUCCUUUUCCUGGCUCAUCCUGGCUCAAAAAUCACCCCCACUGAGCACCUUGCAACCCCCACUCCUGCCUGCCAGAGAACAAACCCUCUUUGACUGUAAUUUUCCUUUACCUACCCAAAUCCUAUAAAACGGCCCCACCCUUAUCUCCCUUCGCUGACUCUCUUUUCGGACUCAGCCCGCCUGCACCCAGGUGAAAUAAACAGCCACGUUGC